rnacentral:rRNA from 1 species
UACGGAAGGGGCAAGCGUUGUUCGGAAUCAUUGGGCGUAAAGGGCGCGUAGGUGGUUCUGUAUGUCUACCGUGAAAGCAUACGGCUCAACUGUAUUUUGUCGGUAGAAACUGCAGGACUUGAGGCUGGGAGGGGCUGGUGGAAUUCCCUGUGUAGCGGUGAAAUGCGUAGAGAUGGGGGAGAACACUCGUGGCGAAGGCGGGUUGCUGGGCUGACACUGACGCUGAGGCGCGAAAGCUAGGGGAGCGAACGGG